AAAUGAAGAUUAAUCCCCCAUAGUCUCUUAUUAUGGCAUCAUAAAAAGAGUAAAGGUUACGGUAUAAGAUGAGUAUGCGUUCUAUUAGUUUGUUGGUGAGGUAACGGCUCGCCCGGACUACGAUAGAUAGGGGCCCUGAGAGGGGGAUCCCCCACACUGGUACUGAGACACGGACCAGACUCCUACGGGAGGCAGCAGUGAGGAAUAUUGGACAAUGGAGGCAACUCUGAUCCAGCCAUGCCGCGUGCAGGAAGACUGCCCUAUGGGUUGUUAAUUGCUUUUAUAUA
rnacentral:rRNA from 1 species